UACGUAGGUGACCAGCGUUGUCCGGAUUUACUGGGCGUAAAGGGCGCGUAGGCGGCCAGCGCAAGUCAGUUGUGAAAUCUCCGGGCUUAACUCGGAACGGUCAACUGAUACUGCGCGGCUAGAGUGCAGAAGGGGCAACUGGAAUUCUCGGUGUAGCGGUGAAAUGCGUAGAUAUCGAGAGGAACACCUGCGGCGAAGGCGGGUUGCUGGGCUGACACUGACGCUGAUGCGCGAAAGCCAGGGGAGCGAACGGG
rnacentral:rRNA from 1 species